rnacentral:rRNA from 1 species
UACGUAGGGGGCAAGCGUUGUCCGGAUUUACUGGGCGUAAAGAGCGUGUAGGCGGCCAAGCAGGGCCGUUGUGAAAUCGCCCGGCUCAACUGGGCGGGGUCGGCGGAUACGGCCGGGCUGGAGCAAGCUAGGGGGUAAUGGAAUUCCCGGUGUAGUGGUGGAAUGCGUAGAUAUCGGGAGGAACACCAGUGGCGAAGGCGGUUACCUGGAGCUUUGCUGACGCUGAUGCGCGAAAGCGUGGGGAGCGAUCCGG